rnacentral:rRNA from 1 species
CAUGCAGUCAAGGGGUAUCAGCAAUGGUACACCGGCGUACGGGUGCGUAACACGUAUAUAACAUUUCUGUAUCACUAGGAUAACUUGCUGAAAGGUGAGCUAAUAUUAGAUGGUUUCAAGGUAUCUCAUGUUAUUUUGAAUAAAGCUACGGCGGAUACAGGUUGGUAUGCGUUCCAUUAGCUAGUUGGUAAGGUAACGGCUUACCAAGGCGAUGAUGGAUAGGGGUUCUGAGAGGAAUGUCCCCCACACUGGUACUGAGAUACGGACCAGACUCCUACGGGAGGCAGCAGUAGGGAAUAUUGGGCAAUGGACGGAAGUCUGACCCAGCCAUGCCGCGUGCAGGAUGACGGCGCUUAGCGUUGUAAACUGCUUUUGUUAAGGAAGAAACCCUCUUUGCGAAGAGGUAUGACGGUACUUAAAGAAUAAGCAUCGGCUAACUACGUGCCAGCAGCCGCGGUAAUACGUAGGAUGCAAGCGUUGUCCGGAAUUAUUGGGUUUAAAGGGUGUGUAGGUUGUUAUAUAAGUCAGCGGUGAAAUACAUUUGCUUAACAGAUAGUAAGCCGUUGAUACUGUGUAGCUAGAGUGCGAUAUAGGUGGGCGGAAUUUGUAAUGUAGCGGUGAAAUGCAUAGAUAUUACAAGGAACGUCGAUAGCGAAGGCAGCUCACUGUGUCUGCACUGACACUGAGACACGAAAGCGUGGGUAUCGAACAGGAUUAGAUACCCUGGUAGUCCACGCUGUAAACGAUGAUGACUCGAUGU